rnacentral:misc_RNA from 1 species
GAACUCUUAGAGAAAGAAUUUCUCUCGAGGUUUUUUCCAAGUCUUUCUCUUGGACUCGCUGAGUGGUUGCUUUGGUGCCCUCCUCUGUUCUUUGAGACAGGGGAAGGAAAGUGUUUUCACCAGCUGGGUUGGGUCCCCUCCUCACCUUGGUUUGUUUGUGUAGAGUUUUGUUUUUAAAGGGUUCUCAGACGAUAAUCUGCAAAGAGGAAGCUGGCUUUCAUGGGUUUGGGUUGCUGUGCUUCUUGGGUUUGUUGGUUUCGACUUCAUGGGUAUGGCUAGUUCUACAUGCGCCUAUGAAGCAUUUUAGUGUUUAGUGGUAUGGCUAGUUCUACAUGUGCCUAUGAAGCAUUUUAAUGUUUAGUGUUUAGGUCAAGAUGGGUGCUCUAUGUAGAAAGAAGGCUUUUACUUGCUUAGGUUGUUCGGUAUCUUCACGAUCUGCUGCUCCUACAUUAUGGCUGGGGAGGUCCUCACGUUGGCCUUUGAAGGUCAAUGAACUUUACGACAGCAAUUGUCCUUCAACUUAUAGAGUUGUGCAGCGUGAUUGGUUGAAAAAUAGAGUUCUGAGCUUGGUUGUUAAUCUGAGAUGAGCAGUUUGGUGCUCCUUGGGAUGCUGGCAAGGAUAGCUGGGUUCAAUCUCAGUUCAGCUUCUCUAGCUAUGACGAGAAUCGGUGGUAGUCGACAGCAUUUACAAUGGUAUCUUCUGCUAUGUUUUCCCAGGGUAUCGAGGCUGGAUAGGAUUGUUGUGGUGGGUUGAUAUAAUUUGAUUAAGGGUGAAUUGAUUUGAUUUGUUUGAAUUCGAUUGGGUCUUUAAAAGUUGAGUAGGUGACCAUAGUAUCUUGUCUAAUUUAUACUUCUUGCUUUUUAAUGAGCUUCUAAUGUAAGAUAUCAUGUUAAAAAAAAAAUCCCAAAAAGCAUUAAGC